UAGGGAAACUUCCACAAUGGGCGAAAGCCUGAUGGAGCAACGCCGCGUGUGUGAUGAAGGGUUUCGGCUCGUAAAACACUGUUGUAAGAGAAGAAUGACAUUGAGAGUAACUGUUCAAUGUGUGACGGUAUCUUACCAGAAAGGAACGGCUAAAUACGUGUCAG
rnacentral:rRNA from 1 species